GAUGAACGCUGGCGGCGUGCCUAACACAUGCAAGUCGAGCGGCAGCGGGGGGUGCUUGCACCCUGUCGGCGAGCGGCGGACGGCUGAGUAACGCGUGGGAACGUGCCCCAAAGUGAGGAAUAACUGCCCGAAAGGGUAGCUAAUACCGCAUAUUAUCUUCGGAUCAAAGGAUUUAUCCGCUUUGGGAGCGGCUCGCGUCGGAUUAGGUAGUUGGUGAGGUAAUGGCUCACCAAGCCGACGAUCCGUAGCUGGUCUGAGAGGAUGACCAGCCAGACUGGAACUGAGACACGGUCCAGACUCCUACGGGAGGCAGCAGUGAGGAAUCUUCCACAAUGGGCGAAAGCCUGAUGGAGCAACGCCGCGUGCAGGACGAAGGCCUUCGGGUUGUAAACUGCUUUUAUAAGUGAGGAAUAUGACGGUAACUUAUGGAUAAGGAUCGGCUAACUACGUG
rnacentral:rRNA from 1 species